rnacentral:rRNA from 3 species
GUGGGUAGUUUGACUGGGGCGGUCUCCUCCUAAAGAGUAACGGAGGAGCACGAAGGUUGGCUAAUCCUGGUCGGACAUCAGGAGGUUAGUGCAAUGGCAUAAGCCAGCUUGACUGCGAGCGUGACGGCGCGAGCAGGUGCGAAAGCAGGUCAUAGUGAUCCGGUGGUUCUGAAUGGAAGGGCCAUCGCUCAACGGAUAAAAGGUACUCCGGGGAUAACAGGCUGAUACCGCCCAAGAGUUCAUAUCGACGGCGGUGUUUGGCACCUCGAUGUCGGCUCAUCACAUCCUGGGGCUGAAGUAGGUCCCAAGGGUAUGGCUGUUCGCCAUUUAAAGUGGUACGCGAGCUGGGUUUAGAACGUCGUGAGACAGUUCGGUCCCUAUCUGCC